GACCAAAAACAUAAGGACUCCGGGGAAUAAGCUCCCCAGAGUAAAGUUAGUAACAAGCACUGUCAAUGGUCAUUGUGUGUCGCUCUGCACUUUGUCUUCUGUCAGUAAUGCAUUUAAUAUGAUCGAUCUGGAAGGUGUGUCUUAUGUACUAUGGUUCAUAGACAGCUUUCAUGUGUGCAUUGUGCAUAUAUUUGGUGUCAGAUCAGGGAUUCUCUCAGUUGCUGGCUACUGGACUUCACAUCCUGACACAUUCAGCCCAGCAGCCUCUCUCUCAUCAUUUCUGCCAAGUAAAGCUUAGUAUCCCCCCUGCAUGCAGUGAAGAUCACCUUUGUGAAGCAAUUUUCUGCUGAAUGUUAGUCAGGAUUUGAGAAUAAGAAGGGAAUAUUUCUCCUACUGAUUUGACCACUUUAAAUGCUGUAUUUCAGCUAUGAAGACCUACCAGCUAGAUGUUUUUGUUUCUUGUUGUAGAGUUUUUCUUCCAUCCAUCCAUGAAUUUUGCAUUUCAAUCACCUUUUUAUGGAGGUGUUGGACUGUUCCUUUGUCUUCAGGAUGUUGCCAUGACACUAAGUCACCAAAAGUUGGUCCUUCCAAUCAAUUGAAACAGAUGUCAAUUUUACUAAACUGGCUGCACCAGUCAUGAUUUUGCAGUGUCGUAUUAAGGGUGAAAUAUUAUGCAAAUAUCUAUAUUUUAUUCAUGUAGAUCAUUUUGUAACAGAUCUGUUUUCGCUUUGACACUAAA